UGGAAACCCCCCGCUCUGCCCACCCCUCGAUGUCGGGAACAUAGGGGGGAGAAGAUGGCGGCCGGUACCUGGGAAGAUGAUGCAGUGAGGACCGCCGAUCAUCAGUGGCAUCAGCGGAGAUCAGUGGCGGAGAUCAGGACCUUCAUUGGAAAGAGCCAACUGGAGCACAGAUUGUGACCAUGUAUUACAUUGCAUUACCUCCAGACUGUCCAGUUCCGCACCCACUCGCACCGGCGCCCUCCAGUCUGUGGAGUCUCCCAGUCAAGGUACAGCCAGAGCACAUAGAGUGCCACAAGAAGCCAGAGUCUUGCAAGAACCAACAAGAGGAACAGUCCCACACAGCAUUGUGCUACAGAAAGAGAAAUGUGAAGAAUUGUAAAAUGAGGAUAUUACAGCAC